rnacentral:rRNA from 1 species
CCUGACUGCUAUCGGAUUGAUACUAAGCCAUGCGAGUCUUUGUAGUAAUACAAGGCAGACGGCUCAGUAACACGUAGUCAACCUACCCUAUGGACGAGAAUAAUCUCGGGAAACUGAGGAUAAUACUCGAUAGAUCAUAAUGCCUGGAAUGGUUUAUGGUUAAAAUGAUUCGUCGCCAUAGGAUGGGACUGCGGCCUAUCAGCUUGUUGGUGAGGUAAUGGCCCACCAAGGCGAUUACAGGUACGGGCUCUGAGAGGAGAAGCCCGGAGAUGGGUACUGAGACAAGGACCCAGGCCCUAUGGGGCGCAGCAGGCGAGAAAACUUUGCAAUGUGCGAAAGCACGACAAGGUUAAUCCGAGUGAUUUCUGCUAAAGAAAUCUUUUACCAGUCAUAAAACCACUGGUGAAUAAGGGGUGGGCAAGUUCUGGUGUCAGCCGCCGCGGUAAAACCAGCACCUCAAGUGGUCAGGAUGAUUAUUGGGCCUAAAGCAUCCGUAGCCGGCUCUGUAAGUUUUCGGUCAAAUCCAUGUGCUCAACGCAUGGGCUGCCGAAAAUACUGCAUAGCUAGGGAGUGGGAGAGGUAGACGGUACUCAGUAGGAAGGGGUAAAAUCCUUUGAUCUAUUGAUGACCACCUGUGGCGAAGGCGGUCUACCAGAACACGUUCGACGGUGAGGGAUGAAAGCUGGGGGAGCAAACCGGAUUAGAUACCCGGGUAGUCCCAGCUGUAAACGAUGCAGACUCGAUGAUGCAAUGGCAUAGAGCUAUUGCAGUAUCGCAGGGAAGCCGUUAAGUCUGCCGCCUGGGAAGUACGUACGCAAGUAUGAAACUUAAAGGAAUUGGCGGGGGAGCACCACCAAGGGGUGAAGCCUGCGGUUC